rnacentral:rRNA from 1 species
AUUGAACGCUGGCGGCAUGCCUUACACAUGCAAGUCGAACGGUGACAGGUCUUCGGAUGCUGACGAGUGGCGAACGGGUGAGUAAUACAUCGGAACGUGCCUAGUAGUGGGGGAUAACUACUCGAAAGAGUGGCUAAUACCGCAUGAGAUCUACGGAUGAAGGCAGGGGAUCGCAAGACCUUGUGCUACUAGAGCGGCCGAUGGCAGAUUAGGCAGUUGGUGGGAUAAAAGCUUACCAAGCCGACGAUCUGUAGCUGGUCUGAGAGGACGAUCAGCCACACUGGGACUGAGACACGGCCCAGACUCCUACGGGAGGCAGCAGUGGGGAAUUUUGGACAAUGGGCGCAAGCCUGAUCCAGCAAUGCCGCGUGCAGGAUGAAGGCCUUCGGGUUGUAAACUGCUUUUGUACGGAACGAAAAGCCCUGGGUUAAUACCCUGGGGUCAUGACGGUACCGUAAGAAUAAGCACCGGCUAACUACGUGCCAGCCGCCGCCGUAACAC